CGUGUAGGCGGAGAUGCAAGUCAGAAGUGAAAUCCCGGGGCUCAACCCCGGAACUGCUUUUGAAACUGUAUCCCUUGAGUGUCGGAGAGGCAAGCGGAAUUCCUAGUGUAGCGGUGAAAUGCGUAGAUAUUAGGAGGAACACCAGUGGCGAAGGCGGCUUGCUGGACGAUAACUGACGCUGAGGCUCGAAAGCGUGGGUAGCAAACA
rnacentral:rRNA from 1 species